rnacentral:rRNA from 1 species
UACGUAGGGUGCAAGCGUUUAUCCGGAAUUAUUGGGCGUAAAGAGCUCGUAGGCGGUUUGUCGCGUCUGCCGUGAAAGUCCGGGGCUCAACUCCGGAUCUGCGGUGGGUACGGGCAGACUAGAGUGAUGUAGGGGAGACUGGAAUUCCUGGUGUAGCGGUGAAAUGCGCAGAUAUCAGGAGGAACACCGAUGGCGAAGGCAGAUCUCUGGGCCGUAACUGACGCUGAGGAGCGAAAGCAUGGGGAGCGAACAGG